CAUGAAUAGUGUGGCAUCAACUAUUCGGAUAUAAUUUAGCCUUUGUAAACAGAAUGUGUUUGUGAGAAUUGUGAGAGAUUACUUGGCGUGUUGGAUUUUGCUUUCUGGCAGCUGAUGAUCCUUAUGCUCUACAUGAAUUACCAGACCACACAGCAUGUCCUGUGGGACAGGAGAAAUAUGGAGAAUGCAGCACACUUGCUUCCUACCGAAGUAGGUAUUUUCUUUCCAGAUUUCCUUCAGUUGUGAAGUCUGACGAUUUCAAUUUUUUUGGAUGAAAUAGAAAACGCUCACCUAAAAAUGAUUAAAAUCAAGUUGUUUUGGGACAGACAGCAGAGGAUGAAGAAACUUAUUUUGACUGAAGUCAUUGGAUGAGACAUGGCUGUGGACAAAUUCAGAGAAGAUAUAUUUAAGAAGAACCUUACACUUAUGUCAGAAUUUUUAAUCACCAGAGAUCGGCAAAGGCAAAGGAGCAGAGGAUACAGUAAUGAAGAAUAAAGUAUCUACUUUCUUGAAAAUCUGAGUCUAUCAGGGAGAGAGAUAGCACUCCAAUAGUGGAUUAAUUGUGAUUAUGAACAUCUACUAUAAUGGAUAGUAGAGAAGAUAAUUUGUAUGUAAUUGAAGGACCACAUUCUUCUUAGCUUGAAGUCAUUGUGAUAGCAUCACAUGGAGCCUACCUGGCAUGUCAUAAGCAGCAAUUCUGAGGUUUCGAAAGAGCUUCUUGCUGAACUUCUUGUUCAGUUUGCCUCCACGCUUUCCCCUACCACCAGAAAAUUUAAACAAAACAACCUGCUUUUGCCUGAAUGACCUAGGUAACAACCUACUUUAGCUUGAGCUGCUUAGAUAUUUCAGCUAAAAAUGGCUUAUUUCCAUGAGUCACCUGGAUAAUUGCAUUACUCUGCUGGCCCACUUAGCUGGGUGGGCCAGCAGGUGUUAAGUGCAAGUGUCAACGAGUACUUCAUUGUUUUCCACUCUAUGGAUAGUACUGUGACAGUUUCUUAGUGCCUGGAGAAGUACCUCUUGAUUCAAUUUCAGCCCUUGAGCUUCCUUCUUUUAGAUGGAUCAUCCUUGCUAUGUGACGAAAUAGCCCCCUUCUAUCUCCGUAGGGCAACUUUGUAUCAUGUAUGUGGGUGUGUGUGUAGCUUUGUGGUUUUGAAGAAAAAUUACUUCAACAAGUACUUCUUAAAUACUUCCUGGCGGAGCGCUGUCUGUGGGAGAUACAAAAGGAGAUAAAGACAAGAUAUUUUCCUCAAGAUACAACUGUUUAGGGAUUACAGGCAUGAGCCACCAUGCCCGGCCACAUUGUCUUUUUUUUUUUUUUUUUCUCCCUGCAAAUGUAUUAUAUGGUUUACUCUGACAACAUAUAACCUAAUUUUCUAGAAUGGCAUCGCUGAAGAAAGAUAGUUGUAUGCCUCAUUUAGAGGGUAACUCAGGGUUCGUGGUUCUCCAAAGGAAAGACGGCAGACAGUUUUGGCUACAAAAACACUUGAGGUAUUUAGAAAAAAAUCCACACUGUAUACUUUACUUUUAUGACCGAGUUUUUUAGAUGCUUUUGAGAACACAAAAUAAAUAGAAAACACAUACAGGAAAAGAAAAAAAAAAAAAA
rnacentral:lncRNA from 1 species